GGUUUGAAAAUUGCAGAAUAUGGGGGCUUGGGCAGUAAAAAUAGGAAACAACAAUGACUGCAAAAUUGUAGAAUCUGAAGGAAAGAGUUUUAUAAAAUCACCACCAGACUUGACCGAAUUCCCAGGAGUGCCAGAGAAGCCUAUUGUCAGUGAUGUCACAGAUAUGAGUGUUCACAAGUCAUGGAAACUAUUCCUUGAUACAGACCGGUGUAUCUCCAGUUGAUUGUACUGAUUAGAGUACUUCGGAAAUGGCUUAAAAUUAUCAGAGUCCUGGAAGGUUGCUAGAACCUGUUAUACCAGUACAAAUAUAACUAUUGAUUGACUGGUUCCAAACACUACUUGUGUUUUCCUUGUCAGAGCAGUAAACAGCCAUGGAAAAAUGGGGACCCAGUCCACUAGAAAGGUCACAAUGUGGUACCAACAAUAUAUUACCCUCCCAGUAACUGAGAUAGAAGAAAGAUUACUAGACAUUCAGAUGUCCUUGUGUAAGGAGAAACUGUCAACUCCAGCGCUAUCAGAUUAAGUUGGAUGGU